GAUGAACGCUAGCUACAGUCUUAACACAUGCAAGUCGAGGGGCAUCAGGAAGAAAGCUUGCUUUCUUUGCUGGCGACCGGCGCACGGGUGAGUAACACGUAUCCAACCUGCCCUUUACUCGGGGAUAGCCUUUCGAAAGAAAGAUUAAUACCCGAUGGCAUAAUGAUUCCGCAUGGUUUCAUUAUUAAAGGAUUCCGGUAAAGGAUGGGGAUGCGUUCCAUUAGGUUGUUGGUGAGGUAACGGCUCACCAAGCCUUCGAUGGAUAGGGGUUCUGAGAGGAAGGUCCCCCACAUUGGAACUGAGACACGGUCCAAACUCCUACGGGAGGCAGCAGUGAGGAAUAUUGGUCAAUGGGCGUUAGCCUGAACCAGCCAGGUAGCGUGAAGGAUGAAGGCUCUAUGGGUCGUAAACUUCUUUUAUAUAAGAAUAAAGUGCAGUAUGUAUACUGUUUUGUAUGUAUUAUAUGAAUAAGGAUCGGCUAACUCCGUGCCAGCAGCCGCGGUAAUACGGAGGAUCCGAGCGUUAUCCGGAUUUAUUGGGUUUAAAGGGAGCGUAGGUGGACUGGUAAGUCAGUUGUGAAAGUUUGCGGCUCAACCGUAAAAUUGCAGUUGAUACUGUCAGUCUUGAGUACAGUAGAGGUGGGCGGAAUUCGUGGUGUAGCGGUGAAAUGCUUAGAUAUCACGAGGAACUCCGAUUGCGAAGGCAGCUCACUGGACUGCAACUGACACUGAUGCUCGAAAGUGUGGGUAUCANACAGG
rnacentral:rRNA from 1 species